ensembl:snRNA U2 U2 spliceosomal RNA
AUCGCUUCUCGGCCUUUUGGCUAAGAUCAAGUGUAGUAUCUGUUCUUAUCAGAACUAAGAAAUUCUUGAUCAAAAUAUAAGAGAGUGAAAACUAGGACAUUUACUCCCU